rnacentral:rRNA from 1 species
GACGAACGCUGGCGGCGUGCUUAACACAUGCAAGUCGAACGGAAAGGCCUGCUUUCCCUUGUGGAUUGCGGGUACUCGAGUGGCGAACGGGUGAGUAACACGUGAGUGAUCUGCCCCCAACUUGGGUAUAAGCUUGGGAAACUGGGUCUAAUUCCCGAUAGGACUGCAGGGUGGUGCCGGUGGUGGAAAACGAUGUGCUAGGGGUUGGGGUUGAGCUGGCGGCCGAUCAGCUUGUUGGUGGGGUAAUGGCCUACCAAGGCGGCGACGGGUAGCCGGCCUGGGGUGGUGGACGGCCGCAUUGGGCCUGCGAUACUGGCCCUACUCCUGCGGGAGGCAGCAUUGGGGAGUAUUGCGCGAUGGGCGGAAGCCUGAUGCAGCGACGCCGCGUGGGGGAUGCCGGCCUUCGGGUUGUAGCCUUCUUUCGACCGCGAGGUAGCCACCUGGUUGGAAGGGUGGUGACGGUAGUGGUAGAAGAAGCACCGGCUAACUACGUG